rnacentral:lncRNA from 1 species
AAAGGAGGCUGCUAGAUGCUAUUACUUAUCAUCCACUGCACGGUUAUCGCCUGUUAGGAUUCAUUGGGAGUACUCUCCUUGUGUUGAGUAGUCAAAAGACUUAAGGGUUAAAGGUUUAUUUAAUUUUCAGUUAAUGCUUUAGCUGCUUGGGGUUUUUUUGUUUUGUUUUGUUUUGUUUUGUUUUCAUCAAAGUCAACAUGAUAACAUUUAUAAAGCUAGCUUAGAAAGCUCAAACACUGAUUUCUGCAUGGCUGAAUUAUGGAAAAACCAGCAAAACUAAUCAGGAAAGGCAGCAAUGGUGAACGCUUGAGGACAUCUCCACUGGGUGGUAAAGCUGACAGCAGAAAAUCAAAGAAAUCUUAGCGCUAAGGCAACAGUGUAACAGAAAAUAUAUGUCAGCUCUCCAUGCCCAUGCAGAUUAUCACUCAGAUAAGACUGUGAUAGAGUUUAAGAAUUCUUUCCCAGUACAGUGUUGAUACUGCAAAGCUUUAAUCUGUUGUUCUUUAGCUUUUUGGAUCUCUUGCUUCAGAACACAAACACUAACUAGUUGACAAAAGCUGUGUUUGCACAUUAUGUCCACUUUCAAUCUAGCAUUUCAAGUUCAAGUUUAGACAUACGAGC